rnacentral:rRNA from 1 species
GACGGAGGGUGCAAGCGUUAUCCGGAUUCACUGGGUUUAAAGGGUGCGUAGGCGGACGGGUAAGUCAGUGGUGAAAUCUCCGGGCUUAAUCCGGAAACUGCCGUUGAUACUAUUUGUCUUGAAAAUUGUGGAGGUAAGCGGAAUAUGUCAUGUAGCGGUGAAGUGCUUAGAUAUGACAUAGAACACCAAUUGCGAAGGCAGCUUACUACACAAUGAUUGACGCUGAGGCACGAAAGCGAGGGGAUCAAACAGG